rnacentral:rRNA from 1 species
UACAGAGGUCUCAAGCGUUGUUCGGAUUCAUUGGGCGUAAAGGGCGCGUAGGCGGCGGGGUAAGUCGGGUGUGAAAUCUCAGAGCUCAACUCUGAAAUGGCACUUGAUACUGCUCUGCUAGAGGACUGGAGAGGAGAUUGGAAUUCACGGUGUAGCAGUGAAAUGCGUAGAUAUCGUGAGGAAGACCGGUGGCGAAGGCAGGUCUCUGGGCCAUAACUGACGCUGAGAAGCGAAAGCAUGGGGAGCGAACAGG